rnacentral:rRNA from 1 species
UGUGACUUGAUCUCUGGCUCAGGACGAACGCUGGGCGGGCGUGCGCUAAUACAUGCAAGUCGAGCGGACUUCUUAAGAGCUUGCUCUUAUGCGGUUAGCGGCGGACGGGUGAGUAACACGUGGGCAACCUGCCCUGUAGACUGGGAUAACUUCGGGAAACCGGAGCUAAUACCGGAUAAUCAAUGACACCACAUGGUGUCAUUGUAAAAGUUGGGUUUACCUAACACUACAGGAUGGGCCCGCGGCGCAUUAGCUAGUUGGUGAGGUAACGGCUCACCAAGGCGACGAUGCGUAGCCGACCUGAGAGGGUGAUCGGCCACACUGGGACUGAGACACGGCCCAGACUCCUACGGGAGGCAGCAGUAGGGAAUCUUCCGCAAUGGACGAAAGUCUGACGGAGCAACGCCGCGUGAGUGAUGAAGGCCUUCGGGUCGUAAAGCUCUGUUGUUAGGGAAGAACAAGUACCGUUCGAAUAGGGCGGUACCUUGACGGUACCUAACCAGAAAGCCACGGCUAACUACGUGCCAGCAGCCGCUGGUA